rnacentral:rRNA from 1 species
UGGGGAAUUUUGGACAAUGGGCGAAAGCCUGAUCCAGCAAUGACGCGUGUGUGAAGAAGGCCUUCGGGUUGUAAAGCACUUUUGUCCGGAAAGAAAUCCUUGGCUCUAAUACAGUCGGGGGAUGACGGUACCGGAAGAAUAAGCACCGGCUAACUACGUGCCAGCAGCCGCGGUAAUACGUAGGGUGCAAGCGUUAAUCGGAAUUACUGGGCGUAAAGCGUGCGCAGGCGGUUUGCUAAGACCGAUGUGAAAUCCCCGGGCUCAACCUGGGAACUGCAUUGGUGACUGGCAGGCUAGAGUAUGGCAGAGGGGGGUAGAAUUCCACGUGUAGCAGUGAAAUGCGUAGAGAUGUGGAGGAAUACCGAUGGCGAAGGCAGCCCCCUGGGCCAAUACUGACGCUCAUGCACGAAAGCGUGGGGAGCAAACAGGAUUAGAUACCCUGGUAGUCCACGCCCUAAACGAUGUCAACUAGUUGUUGGGGAUUCAUUUCCUUAGUAACGUAGCUAACGCGUGAAGUUGACCGCCUGGGGAGUACGGUCGCAAGAUU